UGCCAUUUAAGACUUUUUUUCUCAUGUCGUAUGCUCUUUAGGUGGCUACUUUGAAUAGGACAUAACUCAUCUAACAUGGCUGGAUCCAGCUGCUCCCUGUUAAGACCAACAUAAAGUUGAUCCACAACAAAGCCCUUCAGCCUGACGCUAUCCUCUUCCGUCUCCCUCGCACACCGUGGGACAGCGGCGAAGAAAAACUCUCACGCCGCUCUCUUGAGUAGACCAGACUCUCCAGGACGGCCGGGGUCACCAUUAGCACCCUUUGGACCACUGGCACCGGCGGGUCCGCGCUCACCGGGGGCACCCUAAGAGAG